rnacentral:rRNA from 1 species
UACGCAGGUGGCAAGCGUUGUCCGGAAUUAUUGGGCGUAAAGCGCGCGCAGGCGGUUUCUUAAGUCUGAUGUGAAAGCCCCCGGCUCAACCGGGGAGGGUCAUUGGAAACUGGGAAACUUGAGUGCAGAAGAGGAAAGUGGAAUUCCAAGUGUAGCGGUGAAAUGCGUAGAGAUUUGGAGGAACACCAGUGGCGAAGGCGACUUUCUGGUCUGUAACUGACGCUGAGGCGCGAAAGCGUGGGGAGCAAACAGG